AGUGAACGCUGGCGGUAGGCCUAACACAUGCAAGUCGAACGGCAGCACAGUAAGAGCUUGCUCUUACGGGUGGCGAGUGGCGGACGGGUGAGGAAUACAUCGGAAUCUACUUUUUCGUGGGGGAUAACGUAGGGAAACUUACUCUAAUACCGCAUACGACCUACGGGUGAAAGCAGGGGAUCUUCGGACCUUGCGCGAUUGAAUGAGCCGAUGUCGGAUUAGCUAGUUGGCGGGGUAAAGGCCCACCAAGGCGACGAUCCGUAGCUGGUCUGAGAGGAUGAUCAGCCACACUGGAACUGAGACACGGUCCAGGCUCCUACGGGAGGCAGCAGUGGGGAAUAUUGGACAAUGGGCGGAAGCCUGAUACAGCCAUACCGCGUGGGUGAAGAAGGCCUUCGGGUUGUAAAGCCCUUUUGUUGGGAAAGAAAAGCAGCAGGUUAAUACCCCGCUGUUCUGACGGUACCCAAAGAAUAAGCACCGGCUAACUUCGUG
rnacentral:rRNA from 1 species